rnacentral:rRNA from 1 species
GACGAACGCUGGCGGCGUGCCUAAUACAUGCAAGUAGAACGCUGAAGAGAGGAGCUUGCUCUUCUUGGAUGAGUUGCGAACGGGUGAGUAACGCGUAGGUAACCUGCCUUGUAGCGGGGGAUAACUAUUGGAAACGAUAGCUAAUACCGCAUAACAAUGGAUGACACAUGUCAUUUAUUUGAAAGGGGCAAUUGCUCCACUACAAGAUGGACCUGCGUUGUAUUAGCUAGUAGGUGAGGUAACGGGCUCACCUAGGCGACGAUACAUAGCCGACCUGAGAGGGUGAUCGGCCACACUGGGACUGAGACACGGCCCAGACUCCUACGAGAGGCAGCAGUAGGGAAUCUUCGGCAAUGGGGGCAACCCUGACCGAGCAACGCCGCGUGAGUGAAGAAGGUUUCGGAUCGUAAAGCUACUGUUGUAAGUCAAGAACGAGUGUGAGAGUGGAAAGUUCACACUGUGACGGUAGCUUACCAGAAGGACGGCUAA